rnacentral:rRNA from 1 species
UACGUAGGGGGCAAGCGUUGUCCGGAUUUAUUGGGCGUAAAGAGCGUGUAGGCGGCCAUUCAGGUCAGCUGUGAAAACUCGAGGCUCAACCUCGAGACGUCGGUUGAAACCGUUUGGCUAGAGUCCGGAAGAGGAGAGUGGAAUUCCUGGUGUAGCGGUGGAAUGCGCAGAUAUCAGGAAGAACACCCGUGGCGAAGGCGGCUCUCUGGAACGCAACUGACGCUGAGACGCGAAAGCGUGGGGAGCAAACAGG